AAAUAUAUUGCUUGUGGCACUAAAAACUGGAUUCUAACCGCACUGCGCACUUACCAUUCUUCCAUUAAAUUCUUCUCAUAGACCGGUUAGUUCGACUGGUCUGUCUAUGAAAGUACCAUCUCUAUCACUUGAAAUACAUGUUUUUUGACAGCUCGCAGUUUUGAGAUCACUCGCACUUUAAAAGUGCGGAGUCCAGGUUGGUGGGAAGUGCGCAAUAAUAGGAGUCAUUUCAAAAUCAAUUCUUCAAAAGGGCUAAUGAGAUUUUUAUAAACAAACUUAUUUCGCUCAUUACUCCGCUGUCGAGUCGAAUUUCAUGAAAGAUACACAUGAAUCAACAUCUUUAACCUUGGUAGAAUCAAUUUCAAAUGUCUUCUGGGUUGAAAUUAUAACAAAUUAAGAGAAAUCAGCAAAACAAAAGUUUGUUUACAAAUCUUAUUAGCCCUAUUCUAAUGUUGAUAUGGAUUUAAAUGCUGCCUUUGGAAACGGUUGCCAAAUUCUAGUGUUGAAAUCAUCGUAAAGGGAGUGUUGCCGUUUUGACUGAUUUUCACUCUGCGUCUCUUUCACUAUUCUCUUUGCGAUUUACUACAAGAAGGCCAAUCUACACUACUUCCACAGUAAACCGUUAACGAAAAAUCAGAAAGGAAAUGAUGCUGUGGUCUUUGAGUGGCAUAUGUAAGAUGAGAAUUAUUCUUAACGCCGAUGGAUUUGUCCAUCAUAUGGGAGCCGAUCAUGUUCAUGGAAAAACGGUGGCACCCGUCGCGGAAGAGUAUGCGGCUGAUGAAGUCGAUAAGGUAACCCAAGAUAACGCCAGUACGUAGUCAGAAUUCAAUCAGCUAUUCUGUGCCUGCUUCGUGCCCAAAUAUCACCACUUAGCAACAGGCUGCGGGUGCUUGUCGUAUUGUUAAAAACACCAAAGGUUUUGAGGCGCUAGUUCAUGAUGGAUACCGCUACUAUAAUAUGCAAGUUCAACAGGAUGAUUCGGUUAAACGGCUGUGCAAAAUGAAUAAUAAAACAUGCCGGGCGGCCGUGGAUUUAUUCCCCGAUGAAACGGUUGCCAAGGCCAGCGAAAAAUUUCUUUUCCUAGUGAUAAAUUUGAUCACUUUCAGUGCAGCAAUCACCUAUCCAGCUAAAUGAAAUUAUUUACAUGUUUUAUUACUAAUAUAAUAUAUUAAAAUAUGCAUAUGCAA